AAGAGACAGCAGUCGCCGCGGGAAUACAGAGGACGCAAGCGUUAUCCGAAUGAUUGGGCGUAAAGCGUCUGUAGGUGGCUUUUCAAGUCCGCCGUCAAAUCCCAGGGCUCAACCCUGUACAGGCGGUGGAGACUACCAAGCUGGAGUACGGUAGGGGCAGAGGGAAUUUCCGGUGGAGCGGUGAAAUGCGUUGAGAUCGGAAAGAGCACCAACGGCGAAAGCACUCUGCUGGGCCGACACUGACACUGAGAGACGAAAGCUAGGGGAGCAAAUGGGAUUAGAGACCCCAGUAGUCCCUGUCUCUUAUACC
rnacentral:rRNA from 1 species